rnacentral:rRNA from 1 species
GGGGGGGGGGGGGGGGGGGGGGGGGGGGGGCGGGUCGGACGGGAAGGCCCUGCUUGCGGGGUACUCGAGUGGCGAACGGGGGAGGAACACGGGGGUGGUCUGCCCUGCACUUCGGGAUAAGCCUGGGACACUGGGUCUAAUACCGGAUAGGCGCCGUUUUUAGUGUUAUGGUUGGAACUUUUUUUCGGGGUAGUAUGAGCUAGCGGCCUAUCCGCUUGUUUGUGGGGUAAUGUCCUACCACGGCUGCGACGGGUAGCCGGCCUGAGAGGGUGGACGGCCACAUUGGGACGGAGAUACGGCACAGACGCCGACGGGAGGCAGCAGGGGGGAAUAUUGCACAAUGGGCGCAAGCCUGAUGAAGAGACGCCGCGUGGGGGAUGACGGCCUUCGGGUUGUAAACUCCUUUCGCUAGGGACGAAGCUUUUUGUGACGGUACCUAGAUAAGAAGCACCGGCUAACUACGUG